GCCCCUGUGAGAAUGCCCUAACAGUUCCCUGCUUGGGAACAAGGAGCUGGUAUCAGGCACAUCCUAUUUUAAGCCCACGACGCCUUGCUUAGCCACACCCCCACGGGAACUCAGCAGUGAUAGAUAUUAAGCCAUGAGUGAAAACUUGACUUAGUUAAGGCUAAGAGGGCCGGUAAAACUCGUGCCAGCCACCGCGGUUAUACGAGAGGCCCAAGCUGAUAGACUACGGCGUAAAGAGUGGUUAAGAUAAAACAUACACUAAAGUCGAACGCCUUCAAAGCUGUUAUACGCUUACGAAGCUAGCAGAAGCCCAACUACGAAAGUGACUUUAAACCCCCUGACUCCACGAAAGCUAGGAAACAAACUGGGAUUAGAUACCCCACUAUGCCUAGCCCUAAACAUUGAUAGCACCGCACGCCCGCUAUCCGCCCGGGUACUACGAGCAUUAGCUUAAAACCCAAAGGACUUGGCGGUGCUUUAGACCCCCCUAGAGGAGCCUGUUCUAGAACCGAUAACCCCCGUUCAACCUCACCUUUCCUUGUUUUUCCC
rnacentral:rRNA from 1 species